UUCCUACGGGGGGCAGCAGUGGGGAAUAUUGCACAAUGGGGGGAACCCUGAUGCAGCGACGCCGCGUGAGUGAAGAAGUAUUUCGGUAUGUAAAGCUCUAUCAGCAGGGAAGAAAUAAAGUCCUUCGGACUUUGGACGGUACCUGACUAAGAAGCCCCGGCUAACUACGUGCCAGCAGCCGCGGUAAUACGUAGGGGGCAAGCGUUAUCCGGAUUUACUGGGUGUAAAGGGAGCGUAGACGGCAGCGCAAGUCUGGAGUGAAAUCCCAUGGCUUAACCAUGGAACUGCUUUGGAAACUGUGCAGC
rnacentral:rRNA from 1 species